rnacentral:rRNA from 1 species
GACAGAGGGUGCAAACGUUGCUCGGAAUUACUGGGCGUAAAGCGCGUGUAGGCGGACUUGCAAGUCAGAUGUGAAAUCCCUGAGCUCAACUCAGGAACUGCAUUUGAAACUGCCUGUCUCGAGUAGUGGAGAGGAAAGCAGAAUUCCUGGUGUAGAGGUGAAAUUCGUAGAUAUCAGGAGGAACACCGGUGGCGAAGGCGGCUUUCUGGACACUUACUGACGCUGAGACGCGAAAGCGUGGGGAGCAAACAGG